rnacentral:rRNA from 1 species
CGACCCCUAAGGCGAGGCUGAAAAGCGUAGUCGAUGGGAAACAGGUUAAUAUUCCUGUACUUGGUGUUACUGCGAAGGGGGGACGGAGAAGGCUAGGCURGCCGGGCGACGGUUGUCCCGGUUUAAGCGUGUAGGGGGUGUGACCUGGUAAAUCCGGUUGCAURYUAACCCUGAGGCGUGAUGACGAUGCACUACGGUGCAGAAGUAGUUGAUGCCCUGCUUCCAGGAAAAUCCUCUAAGCUCCAGGUAACAUURAAUCGUACC